UUUUUUGAUGAUCUAUGAAACUGUCUAAAAAGGGGUAAUUUUAAAAGUUGUUCAAUGGGUAAAAAAAUACCCAUGUUCAAAAUUAGAAAGAAGUUUAAAAAUGUGCAUUUUUUUACCCAUUAAUGGGUGAAAAAAUAGUUGCGAAUAUUUUCAAAUUGUUUUUCUGUUUUCUCCCGGUUGAAAAAUUCAAUCAAUGAGCCCUCGUAUGGACGUCAUCGAAAGUAUGGAGUUCCAGAGGAAAAUAGUUCCUUCCAGGCUGUCUCAGGUUUUUGCCAGCCUGAACCAAAAUCACAACAGGUUUCCGAUUUCACAACAGGUGUAACAGAACGCGCGACCGGCAGAAAACGCGGAUCAUCGUCCGGAGACAAACCAUCGCAAUCAUGGACAAGAUUAUCACCUGUCAUAAGCAUCCGGACUCCGGAUCAAGCCUGAAGCAGUCAUCACAACUUUUUGGAUUUUUAAUAGUGACUUAACUUGUUUGUGCUCUUAUAUUAACAAGAAGAUUAAUAAAAAUGUGUUUUUUUACUGAUUUUUAAUUUUACUGCAAAAAAUCCGCAAAAUUCCGAAAUUCCGGUGGUAAAAUUCAUUCUGAAAAAAUGGGUAUUUAUUUACCCAUUAUGCAAAGAAACAGUUUUGGCAUGAUGGGUAAAAUUAUACCCAUCUUUUGACAGAAAGUCGAUUUACCCAUUAAUGAGUA